rnacentral:rRNA from 1 species
UGGGGAAUAUUGGACAAUGGGGGGAACCCUGAUCCAGCGACGCCGCGUGUGUGAAGAAGGCCUGCGGGUUGUAAAGCACUUUCGGUGGGAACGAAAUAUGCCGGGCUAAUACCCCGGUAGGCUGACGUUACUCAAUGAAGAAGCACCGGCUAACUCUGUGCCAGCAGCCGCGGUAAUACAGAGGGUGCGAGCGUUAAUCGGAAUUACUGGGCGUAAAGCGCACGUAGGUGGCGACGUAAGUCGGGUGUGAAAGCCCCGGGCUCAACCUGGGAACCGCAUUCGAGACUGUGUUGCUGGAGUACGGAAGAGGAGGGCGGAAUUCCCGGUGUAGCGGUGAAAUGCGUAGAUAUCGGGAGGAACAUCAGUGGCGAAGGCGGCCCUCUGGUCCAGUACUGACACUCAAGUGCGAAAGCGUGGGGAGCAAACAGGAUUAGAUACCCGCGUAGUCCCUGAGCGGGCUGGCA